AUCCAGCUGAAGAGUCCCAAAUAUAACGAAACGUGCGUCCUGGAU
rfam:Schistosoma mattheei strain Denwood, Zambia genome assembly, scaffold: SMTD_contig0025561